AUACGUAGGGGGCGAGCGUUGCCCGGAAUGAUUGGGCGUAAAGGGCGCGUAGGCGGCCCGGUAAGUCUGGAGUGAAAGUCCUGCUUUUAAGGUGGGAAUUGCUUUGGAUACUGUCGGGCUUGAGUGCAGGAGAGGUAAGUGGAAUUCCCAGUGUAACGGUGAAAUGCGUAGAGAUUGGGAGGAACACCAGUGGCGAAGGCGACUUACUGGACUGUAACUGACGCUGAGGCGCGAAAGUGUGGGGAGCAAACAGGAUUAGAUACCCUGGUAGUCCACACUGUAAACGAUGAAUGCUAGGUGUAGGGGGUAUCGACCCCUUCUGUGCCGCAGUUAACACAAUAAGCAUUCCGCCUGGGGAGUACGGCCGCAAGGUUGAAACUCAAAUGAAUUGACGGGG
rnacentral:rRNA from 1 species